rnacentral:rRNA from 1 species
UACCACGGUAAUGCUGGGCACUCUGGUGAGACUGCCCCGGUUAACCGGGGAGGAAGGUGGGGACGACGUCAAGUCAUCAUGGCCCGUUACGCCUAGGGCGUACACACGUACUACAAUGGCGCAUACAAAGGGCAGCGAUACCGCGAGGUGGAGCCAAUCCCAAAAAGUGCGUCCCAGUCCGGAUUGCAGUCUGCAACUCGACUGCAUGAAGUUGGAAUCGCUAGUAAUUCGAGAUCAGCAUGCUCGGGUGAAUGCGUUCCCGGGCCUU